UACAGAGGGUGCAAGCGUUAAUCGGAAUUACUGGGCGUAAAGCGCGCGUAGGUGGUUCGUUAAGUUGGAUGUGAAGCCCCCGGCUCAACUGGGGAGGGUCACGCGAUACUGAUCGACUCGAAGGCAGGAGAGGGAAGUGGAACUUCCGGUGGAGCGGUGAAAUGCGUUGAGAUCGGAAGGAACGCCCGUGGCGAAAGCGAGUUCCUGGACGUCGGCUGACGCUGAGACGCGAAAGCCAGGGGAGCGAACGGG
rnacentral:rRNA from 1 species